GAUGAACGCUGGCGGCGUGCCUAAUACAUGCCAGUCGAGCGAACAGACGAGGAGCUUGCUCCUCUGACGUUAGCGGCGGACGGGUGAGUAACACGUGGAUAACCUACCUAUAAUACUGGGAUAACUUCGGGAAACCGGAGCUAAUACCGGAUAAUAUAUUGAACCGCAUGGUUCAAUAGUGAAAGACGGUUUUGCUGUCACUUAUAGAUGGAUCCGCGCCGCAUUAGCUAGUUGGUAAGGUAACGGCUUACCAAGGCGACGAUGCGUAGCCGACCUGAGAGGGUGAUCGGCCACACUGGAAGUGAGACACGGUCCAGACUCCUACGGGAGGCAGCAGUAGGGAAUCUUCCGCAAUGGGCGAAAGCCUGACGGAGCAACGCCGCGUGAGUGAUGAAGGUCUUCGGAUCGUAAAACUCUGUUAUUAGGGAAGAACAAAUGUGUAAGUAACUAUGCACGUCUUGACGGUACCUAAUCAGAAAGCCACGGCUAACUACGUG
rnacentral:rRNA from 1 species